rnacentral:lncRNA from 1 species
CGGAAUGCUUCUCGCUCUUGGUGGUUUUGUCAGAAAAUUUGGUUGACGUCGGUGAGCACCCCCACCAUGGGUGGUUGAGUACCCAUGAUGGAUGGUGAUUGGCUAGAGUGAUCAAUGGACAUUGAUCCUCUACCAUGUGAGGAGCUUCCCGAAGGGCUAGUAACCCUGGGAUGCUCUCCAUGGCUACUUGAAUCACUCUUAGACCCAAAGUUAAUAUGUUGGUUUGGCCAGCUGCUGCUACUUCCAUCCAUGUUCUUCUUCUUGAAAACUUUCUUCCACAUUGUUCCUGCACGCGAACACAACUAAACAAGAGAGGUGAUGGGUUAGGAAAAAUAAACACACCCCAAGGGGGUGUUCUACUUCCCUAGAUGAACCUCUCCCUUGCUUAGUGAGGACUUUUGAUUAGUGAAUAAUCAAAAGAGCUUCAC